AUUUCUGUACACUCCAAGUCGUGAAGCGUGGUACUUCUGUGAGCUUAUUAUAUAUCAAUUCGUGUAAACAGACGUUACAAGCGUGUUAUAAGCCCAGUGAGUUGAAAAACAUUAUUUACAAUUCCACAGCGUUGGAAAAAUAAAAAAAGUGAAAAUUUGUGUUUGUUUGGUGAGAAAAACUUGAGUCGAAAAAAUCUGAAAUUUGUCUUGACGAUUAAUAAAAAUAAUGGAGAGUAAAAUGUCCAAGAAAACAGACAAAUGUGAUGAUUGCUUCUUAGAUAAACUGUGGCAAAACUUAAAUUUAAUGUUUGGAUUGAAUAGAAAGCAUCCAAAUGACGAUAUUACAAUAUUAAUAGAAGGAAAGGAUAUAACACUCCAAGUGAAAGAAUGUGUUCUUUAUUAUACAGAUGCAGGAAAGAUAACUACUGGAGAAUGGAAGGCUCUUAAAAAAUGGAUGAAGAAGAAAAUUUCGCAUAAUCAACCGGCUAUAAUGCCAAGGACUUUUUCAAAGAGUUGACUUGCUGAUUUAUCUACAGUUGGUGAGGAGGGGUUUUUAGAAGAAGGAUAUGAGGCGGAUAAAGAGACAGAUAACGAUGUAGAGGUAAGUGAGGAAAAAGAGCUAGAUAUAAAAGGUGAAUUGAAAAUAAAGGAAGAAGACGUUUCGUCAAUUGAAGUACUUAAAGAAGUUUUAGACAAACUGGAGAAACAAGACAUCAAAAUAGAAGAAAUAAUUGAAAUAGUAGACAAUUUCUGCAAAAAGCUCUUAUUUGUAGUGGAUCGAAUGACUCAUACAUUAAAGAAAAUAACAGAAGAUGCAAAAAUUGAUGAAAAAAUUAUCCAACAAACACUCACUAACUUAACCGCGCUGCUUAGAGUUGACUAUGAAAAACAGGGUGAUAGAAUUA